AUCCAACUGACGAGUCCUAAAUAAGACGAAACGUGAGUCCUAGAU
rfam:Schistosoma rodhaini strain Burundi genome assembly, scaffold: SROB_scaffold0000419